AAAGUACUCCCUCCGUCCCAAAAUUCUUGUCUUAGAUUCGUCUAGAUACGGAUGUAUCAAGUCACAUUUUAGUAUUAGAUACAUCCGUAUCUAGACAAAUCUAAGACAAGAAAUUUGGGACAGAGGGACUAGUUG
rnacentral:pre_miRNA from 1 species